CUAAAGGAUGAAACCUACCAUUUUUUAUAUUACUCUGGUAACUUCAUGUACAUGUAAAUGUGUGUUUGGACCCUCUAAAAUGCUUGUUCUAUCAUUUUAACAUGGGAUGUUUGUUUUUUAUAUUCUAGUAUGCUUGCAACAACCCACUGGUCCCUUGGAUGGACCUGUACACCAGAAGUGUCCAGGUCCAUGCUAGUGUCAUGGACCUCCUGGUGCAGCAGGCACGCACCAAGGGGUCCAUGGACCAAAAGAUAAGAUUUGUCCAGCGGGAGCUAGAGGGGCUCAAAGGAAAAAGAAGGCUCUGCAGCAAGAGGUGGAGGUGUUGAAGGCCACUAAGGCCUUUGAGGCAGACUACAAUGGCAAGCCCCAUGAAGUUUCCACCAUCCAGUGACCCCGAGGUGGAGAGACCGUGAGGCAGCAGCUCCAGCUGCUAAGCAUUACAGUAUGCUUGUAGCGACCCCCAGCUCCCGAGGACGGACCUGUACGCCAGAAGUGUCCAGGUCCAUGCUAGUGUCAUGGACCUCCUGGUGCAGCAGGCACGCACCAAGAGGUCCAAAAAGUGCGCUUUCUGUAGCGGGACCUGGAGGGAGUCAUGGGAAAAAGUUGGCUCUGCAGCAAGAGGUGGAGGUGUUGAAGGCCACUAAGGCCUUUGAGGCAGACGACAAAGAGGAGGCUGUAAAAGAUGAGCUGGUGCAGUCGAAUGUUUAUAGUAAUAACGCUAUAAUGAUGUUGGUUUUCUGUUAAUAUGUUUGUAGUUUGGUUGACCUGUGUGCAAAAAUGGCUGGUGUUCCGGUGAUGGAGGGGGAGGAGAAGGGGAGAGAAAGAAUGGAGAGGAGGAGGAGGGGAUAGAGAACCAAGAAUUACUUUUAAUGCCUUUUUUUAUUUUAUUUUAUUUGUUAUGUUAAGAAUUAAUUAUAAUAAAUUAAAAAGUGUUCAUGUUCAGUACUGAAAAUUCUGUGGUGUCCUGCUGAUUGUUUCUGGCAUUAACAUGAAAGCUCACAUUUUACUGAAUGACAUGUAUAAAAGUGUGACAAAACUCAAAUUAAAAAUGUCAAAUUAAA